rnacentral:rRNA from 1 species
GAUGAACGCUAGCUACAGGCUUAACACAUGCAAGUCGAGGGGAAACGAUAUUGGAAGCUUGCUUCCGAUAGGCGUCGACCGGCGCACGGGUGAGUAACGCGUAUCCAACCUGCCCAUCACUUGGGGAUAACCUUGCGAAAGUAAGUCUAAUACCCAAUGAUAUCUCUAGAAGACAUCUGAAGGAGAUUAAAGAUUUAUCGGUGAUGGAUGGGGAUGCGUCUGAUUAGCUUGUUGGCGGGGUAACGGCCCACCAAGGCGACGAUCAGUAGGGGUUCUGAGAGGAAGGUCCCCCACAUUGGAACGGAGACACGGUCCAAACUCCUACGGGAGGCAGCAGUGAGGAAUAUUGGUCAAUGGGCGAGAGCCUGAACCAGCCAAGUAGCGUGCAGGAUGACGGCCCUAUGGGUUGUAAACUGCUUUUAUAAGGGAAUAAAGUGAGUCUCGUGAGACUUUUUGCAUGUACCUUAUGAAUAAGGACCGGCUAAUUCCGUGCCAGCCACCGCAGUAA